GGUGGCUUCGUAUAGUGGUUAGUACAACACGUUGUGGCCGAUAAAAAAAAACUUGUGAUAAUACCGUGUAAACCUGGGUUCGAUUCCCAGAGCUGCCA